ensembl:lncRNA
CCUCAUUUUUAUUUUUGCUUUAUAAGUUGUGACAUUUCCUGUACAAUUAUCUUCUAAUCUAUUAUUUUAAUAAUUACUAAACUAAUAUUUUUAAUAAUUAUUAAACUAAUAACUUCUAAACUAACAUUUUAAUAAUUUCAUAAUAAUAACAUUAUUAAAUGAGAUUUAAUAAUUUAAAAAAUUUUCUUCAUGGAUUACAGUAGCAGUAACCCAUUUUUGACCUUUAUGUGUUUUCAGUGUGGGGAAUGGAUGAAGAGUUUGAACAGCCUGGGUUUAAAUACUGGAUCUAGGAUUCCUUACAGAGUGUGUGACUGGCCAGAGGUCCUGACACCUUUAAGACUCAAAUGGAAACACAGCAUCUACUAUCUAUGGAAGAUUUCUUGUGAAGAUGAAAUAAUACUGGUUAUGACACAGGAACAUGUGAGGUCCUAAAAUUACAUUCGUUAGACAUGUGUCAUUUCUUUCAGGUAAGUCUUGUUAAAUUUAUAUUAGGCCAUGCUAUUUAUUGCAUAAUAUCAAAAUAACUUGAUUCUUAAUAGCACCAGUUUGUGAGUAUUGAUAUAAAAGCGUUUUCUUUUGUAAAGAUUACUUUUGUAACCUAAAAUGAUCCUUAAUUGUCGUCAUACAUUUUAACAUGCUCUUUUCAAUUUUUAUUUCUUUUUUAAAUUAAAAAAAUGUUAAGGUAAACACAUUUCAUGUAUUUCAUGGAUACAGAUUUAGGAACACAGUGGUACUUUCCAAGCAUGCUCCCACCCUUCUUCCUCCUUCUUUUUUUAUUUCCUCUCUUAAUUUUUAUAAUGAUAUAUUUUCGAUAAGUGAAUAGUUCAGCAAAAAUACGAAUUACACAAACGCUAUUCCUCAACAGUAGAGACAAGGGAUGUAGACAAUUAUCAAAUCUUAACAUGUCAGUUUCACUCCUACACAUUACAUUUUUGGUACACAAAUGUACACAGAUCUGGUAAAAUAUAUGAUAUUUGUCCUUUUGGGACUGGCUUAUUUCACUAAGUAUAAUGGUUUCCAGUUGCAUCCACUUUGUUACAAAAGGCAGGAUAUCAUCCUUUUUAUGGCUGAGUAGUAUUUCCUAGUGUAUAUGUACAACAGUUUCUUUAUCCAGUCAUCAGUUGAUAGACAUCUGGGUUAAUUCCUAGUAAGCAAUCAUACUUGCAAACCAUGAUGAUUUGGGUCAUUUUAGCUUCUAAUUAUACAUUUUUCCCCUUUGAGGCAUUAGGUAGAGGUUCUAGGACAAAAAAAAUUCUGGUGAUGCUAGGGUUCCUUCUUCCUUCUUGAUUUAUUAGCAUGCUUCAAAAUAUGAACAACAUUUUCUAUGGAUUCUGAUUUUUUCAUUGACAUUUACCUAGUACUUUCCCAGAAUCUACUAAGAGAUUCAUGCAUUUUUUCUUCCUCUUAUGUGAUGAGUUAAAUAACGUAUAUUUCUAUUAAAUUAUUGUUGAAUUUCCAGAUAAAGUCUUUAUUAUUUUUUGACUCUGUUUUAUAUUAUGCCACAGGAUUCAAUUUUAUCAGACUUGGUUUAUGAUGUUACAAUUUACAGCCAUUUCAGCAUUUUACUCCUCCUCUUCUUUCUCCUCCUCCUCAUGCAUGAAUAAGCAUGAUCAGACAUAAGCUGAAUGCAUAAAAUAUCUUAAAAUGUACUUACAUAAUUUUUACCUUUAACAUUAUUCUUAAGGUAUGUGUCAUUAUUUUACUUCAGGAAAAUGAUUUAGAACAGUUAAGUGUCCGAGUCAUAAAAUAUUUCUUUGCAAUAGAGCAAGAAUUUUAAUGUAAUUCCAAUUAAUUUCUAAGCCUCUGAUUUUAAUCAUUUCAUGUAUCCUUUAUUUUUAGUGGAAAGAUUGAUACAUAGAUUAUUUCUUAGUGCUCUCUUUGUCACAUUUUAUUAUCAGGGUUGGGCUCAUCUAGUAAAACAAGUUGAAAUGCUUUCAGUCUUUUGAAAUGUUAUUAAAUAUUUUAAAUAUUAAAUUAAAAAUUUCCCCUGUAUCUGAAAAUAUGUUUACUUAAUUGUUCCAGAAGUGUGUAUUUUCAUUUUUCCUGUAUCAAACUUGCUUGUUUUUACACAUUUUAUUGGCUUUGUAAAAGAAAAAGUACUCUAUAUAUCAGUUAUAGUGUUUUUCUCAGUUUGAUUUGGUUUAAGAAUUAUGUCUUAGCUUCUUGGAUUAAAUACCCAUCUCAAUAACUCUCUAAUAUGAUCAUGAGACCAAACAAAGCUCAUGUUUUUAUCCUUCUUCCAAUGUCCUACUGAAAAGACCUUACUCCUGUAGCAGGGAUAAAUGCGCACAGUCAAUAAAGCACAAAAUAUGUAAGAAAUUCA